GAAAUACUCUAAGACCAUAAUGGUCUUCUCCCUCACCUUAGACGCUUCAUUCAUGUGCUCAAUUCUAUCUUCUUUGAUCCAUCCAUGCCAUUGUCCCAUCCCAAAGAAAAAUCACAUUAUCUAACAGUUACUCUAAUGCAUUAAUUCCUCCUAAGCACACUGCAUGAUCAUUACCCAAAAGAUAACACAAAAAAACUUAAUUUCUAGUACUACAUAUCAGUACUUAUCCUUCUAUUUUUUUUAAACAGUUAAUCUCAUGUAUACCUAUACAUAUGACACGUAUACACAUAUAUAUGAAACGUAUAGCACUAUAUGCACUUUAUCAAAACAUGCAUAUUCUAGAAGUAAUGCAUAGGAUAAAUAUGGAUGAUAUUAUUAUCUUAUCAAACAAUAAUCUUCUAAAGUAAAAGGAAAGGAAAGGAUGCAGUAAUCUAUACAAAAAUGCAUAAACUUUAGUUCGCCUAAGUUGUGUGUUGAUAGAGUUAUUUCAGAGGUUUUCCCCCUCAACAAAUUAUCCCUGGCAGCGGCGCCAAUUUGUUGUAAGGAGUUGUCUCUUCGAUGUGUUUUCUUUAUUUGGUUAAGUAAGUGAACUCAGUUUUAUUCUCUGUUCGCCAUCACGGCUUUGUUGAAAUAAAUUCCAACACUGGUAUAAUGGUUUCAAGAAUAUUCCAGUUACAACUUACUUCUAAUAAUCAUGUGAACAAGUUAUUCCUUCUUUGUCCCAUCUCGGCUUUGUUAGAAUAAAUUCUAACGCCGGUACAAUCGUAUCGAAACAAUCCCCUAUUACAUAAUUAUUAAGUACCUUUGAAUACCAUCUCGGUUUUGUGGAAUAAAUUCCAACACCAGUUUAAUGGUAUUCUAAUGUACAAAAUUGAUGAAUAGUUAGUUGAUAGAAACAAAUAAAUAAAUAAAGAACAAAAGAAUAAUAAAAUUAAGUGACAUUUAUUUAUUUACUCCCUUUCUGGUGCUUUUUAUUAACAAACCAAACUUAUUCCUUAAGGAAGGUUGGUAUUAAAGAAUAAAUAAAUUGUGGAAUGUAAAUAACAAUAAAUAAAAGUUAGUAAGUCAGUUUCAUCACUUUUUUAUAUUAAAAAGUGUGUCAACAAAUAAAUUUAUUGAUAACACUUUACUAUUUUACAAUUUACACCUCUUUCAAGUUCAAUUGUAGUAUAGUAUAGGUUAUGUCGAACCACAAGGAAUUGCCUAACAGAAUGAAUAAUAUGAAUAUGUCAAUGCACAAAUAAGGAGUGAACAUAUUUUGGUUAUUUUUUAUUUGGUUUGAUAUGCACAUAAAUACUUAAAAAGAAACAUAAACUAAGUAUUAACAAAUUCUUGAGUAGACAAUAUCAUUUUGAAUGAUGAAAGUAUUUCUCAACUUAUUAUGUAUUUGAACUACUUACACAAGUUCUUAUGUUUUACUUUGAUUAAAACUUACUUACUUACAAAACAAAAAAACUAUAAAACUUAUUGACAAAAGCUUCUAUGAAUCGAGCUUUCAAACUAAGAAAUAAGUAGAGAGAAUUGUGUUUUUUCUUAAGGGAAGAGAGAUUUUUUAAGAGAUGAUGUUCUGAAUGAAGGAAAUGCCAUCCUAUUUAAAGAAUUUCCCAGCCACCACUAGGCUACUUGUUUGCACUGCUCAGUAGCUGACUAAACCCUUCAUCAUGGGUUUGGUCACUUGGUCAAGUAGCUUGGUCACCUCCUUAAGCUUGACUCACCAAUGUUAGUUGUGAGUUAUGGGACCAGCUAUGGUGAGCUACUCCUGAAAAGCCUAUGGUGGGCUACUUGAAGUGAGGUCAUGCAUGACUUCAUUGUUUCUUGAUGGUUAAGUUAAUUUUGGGUGCACACCGCUGAGCACACAAGUGGCACCACUAGGCUGCCUGCUUGUCCAUGUUGACUGAGACGUGGCUUGGUGCUUGUUGACCUGGUCAGGUGUCUGGUUCACCGUUGAGCACACAUGUGGCACCGUUGAGCUGCCUGCUUGAGCAGCUUGGGCGUGUUAGGCUUGUGUCUGACCGUGCCAAGCUUGUGUUCUGACCGUGUCAGGCUUUGUCUGGUGCUAGGCUGAGCGGUCAAGCAAGUCCAAUAAGUUGAGCGGUCAAGCAGGUCCACUAAGCUGUCUGCUUGAGCAACUUGGUAUGUGCCAGGUUGGUUUGACUGAGCCAGGUUGGGUCUGGCCGUGCCAGGCUGGUGUCCAGGUCAGCUCCAUGUAGCUUAGUCCAUGCUAAGCUGCCUAGUUGAGCACCUUCAGUUUGACUUCUUUUUCUUGUUGGGUCAUGAGUCUUUAUUCUCUUUUCUUUUUCUUUCUAAAUCCUACAAAACACAUUAAAGAGAAAUACAAACACAAAUAUACAAGAUUGUGAUAUUUUAUCCAAAAAGUAUUGUUUUUAAGUUAGUUUUUCUCAAUUAUUUUAAGUUGGUUUUUCUCAAUUAUGCUUAAGAUAAGUGCCAUAAAAGUGUAUGAAAUUUAGGUAUGUUUGGCACUUAUCAAACUCCCCCCAACUUAAAAUUUUGUUUGUCCUCAAACAAAAGGUAAAGUUGAUCCGAAUUCACAUUUGGUUAAGUUUAAAGAUGAUCAACAUGAUUUCAAAUGUUCAUAAGCAUGUCAAAAAUUGAUAUCAAUGAGAUUUUUCUUGAUUUGUGAAUUUUGACACAUAAUGCUUCAAACAAGGAAUAAAUGCUUUUGUUUAUAAAAAAUGUGUAACAAUUUACUUAAGCAAAUAUUUUUCUAACCAAAAAGUGUUUUUUGCACACAAGUUCAAAAUUGGAACUUUUUAGAGGGUAAGUGUUUCACUCAAUUUUUCAAUCAUUUGUUUGUAGUAAUUUGAACUUGAUCUUUGUCUCACCUAUUCUCUUAAAUUGCAUAAAUAAUCAAAGAUCACUAAGGUCUUUAUUUUGGUUGUAAUGAGUCUUGGUUUGGAUAAUGGUUUUUCUAGAUAUUCAAUGCUAAGUUAAAAAGAGAGCAUUUUUGAAAUUUUUCUCAAUGAAGCACUUCACUCUUCUUCUCUCCAUUAUUUCUUUUCCCCCCCUCUUAAACUUUUGAACCUUUGCUUCAAUUUUUCUCAAACUCAUUUUUUUUUUCUUUUUCAUUUGUAAAGAGAUUGAGUUUUUCUUUCUUUCUUUUUAAGAAGCAAAGUCCCCCCCCCACAAAUUAAUUCUUUCAAACUAUCCUUUAAAAUUUAAUGCUCUCUUAGAACAUUGUUUUUUUUUUCAAAUUCGGUUUCAUUGGAUAGUUUGAAAAAUUAUUUCACUUGUUUGGCUCAAAGGGGCUUAUCAAAGGAUGAUCCUAAUUGGAUUUGGACUUUUUGGCCUUUGGUUCAACUAAUGAAGGAACAUGCCUUGAUCAUUUCUUAUCAUUUUUAUGCAAUUAAGAGAUUUAAAGACUCAAACAAAUUUAGUUAGACAAAUCACAUGUUGAUUCUCACUUUGAUUAUGACGUGUGUUUGGCUCACUCCCUCACUUGGUUUGGUUUUACACUUUUUUUAUUUAAAAGAUGUUUGCAAAGAUCUUGUUACACAAAAUUGAAUUUUCAAUUUGCAAAAAUUUCAAGUGAAGACAUUAUAUGAUGUUUUCACAAAAGUUUAGCAUAUACUCAUUUUGCUCACUCAAAGCUUAAUUCAAAGUAUGCUUAGCAUUUUCUAAUCAUGUGAUCAUGUUUCAAGAAAUUUGUUUAGCCAUUUUGAUUUUGAUUUUGAAAUUUUUUGAGUUUUUGAACAAACAAAUUUACUUUUUUACAUAUUUACACAAUCUAAACAAAAAAGUUUUAAAUUACGUUAAACUAUUUUUGGGACUUACUUGAUGUGAUUUAAAAAUUGCUUUGUUUUAAAAAAUAAUGCUAACAAAAGACAAUGAUAAAGGAAGUAAAUAUUUACCAAAUACUGGGUUGACGUCUGACUUUGAACGAGAUUAUUCUGAUUGCUCAUUGAUGAUGGAGCCUGACUUAUCACCCAAAUAAGGUUUUAAUCACUGUCCAUUUACUACCCAAGUUGCUUUCGUCUCGGGAUCUUUCAACUCAAUUGCUCUAUAUUCUUUUACUUCUUUGAUGACAAAUGGUCAUGUCCAUCUUGUUCUGAAUUUUCCUGGAAGUAUUUUGAGCCUUGAGUUGAAUAGAAGUACUUUAUGUCCUUGAUAAAAAAAUUUCUUUCUGAUUAUGGAAUCAUGGUACUUCUUUGUUUUUUCCUUAUAUAGUCUUGAAGAUUCAUAUGCUUGGAAUCUCGUUUCUUCCAGUUAAUAUAAUUGAUCCUGUCUUUUAAUAUCUGCAUCCUUCAAAUCAAAGUUUAGAAAUUUGAGAGCCCAAUAGGCCUUAUGCUCCAACUCAACUGGUAGAUGACAAGCUUUGCCAUAAACAAGUUGAAAUGGAGUUUUACCUAUUGGUGAUUUAAAUGCAGUUCUAUAGGCCGAGAGAGUAUCAUCCAGUUUUUGUGACCAGACUUUUCUUGAAGUAAAGACUGUUUUUUCCAAAAUUCUUUUUAACUCUCUGUUUGAUACCUCCGCUUGGCCGUUUGUUUGUUAUAAAAUUCUAAGGUUCUUUUUAAUUGGGAAUUUAUGAAAUGAGAUCCCCCAUCACUUAUCAAUACUCUUGGUGUGCCGAAACGAGUNNNNNNNNNNNNNNNNNNNNNNNNNNNNNNNNNNNNNNNNNNNNNNNNNNNNNNNNNNNNNNNNNNNNNNNNNNNNNNNNNNNNNNNNNNNNNNNNNNNNAGUCAAUGCCCCAACAAUCAAAAAUUUCUAUUUCUAUGAUAUUUUGUAAAGGCAUUUCACUUUGUUUCCCAAGUCCCCCAGACCUUUGGCAUGCAUCACACUUUUGGACAUACAUUUGGGCAUCUUGAUAAAUGGUUGGCCAAAAGAAUCCAGAUUGGAGUACUUUGGUCGCGGUUCUGUUCACAUUGUAAUGUCCCCAUAGGCCGAAUUAUGACAAUGCCAUAAUAUUUUUUGGGCCUCAUUCUCAUCAACACAUCAUCUAAUGAUAUUAUCGGUGCCUUCUUUGAACAUGUAUGGUUCAUCCCAGACGUAUUGAUUCACUCUUUUGAGAAAAAAUUUCUUCUGCUGAUAAUUGAAAUGUUCAGGAAUUGUACCUGAGACUUUAUAGUUGGCCAUAUCAGCAAACCAUUGUCUUGUUUGAAGUGGAAAUAGCUUUUCAUCAGGAAAUGUUUCUGCUAUUUCUUGUUCUCUUAAUGCGACUUCUUUAUUUACCAAACUUGACAAGUUAUAUGCCACUUGGUUUUCUUUGUCACUCUUGUCGCGAAUUUCUAAGUCAAAUUCCUGCAAAAGCAAAACCCAUCUAAUCAACCAUCGCUUGGAGUCGGGUUUUCUAAGAAGAUAUUUGAUUGCGGCAUGGUCAGUAUAAAUAAUUGUUUUUCCCCUAAUCAAAUAGCUUCUAAAUUUUUCCAAUUCAAACACUAUUGCUAGCAACUCUUUUUCGGUUGUAGCAUAAGUGAUUUGUGCUUCGUUUAGAACUUUGCUAGCAUAAUGUAUUGCAUGAAAAACCGGUUCCUUUCUCUGUCCCAGAACUGCACCAACUGCAUAAUCACUUGCAUCACACAUUAGUUCAAAAGGUUAUUNNNNNNNNNNNNNNNNNNNNNNNNNNNNNNNNNNNNNNNNNNNNNNNNNNNNNNNNNNNNNNNNNNNNNNNNNNNNNNNNNNNNNNNNNNNNNNNNNNNNGUCUUUGAUGAACCUACGAUAGAAUCCAGCAUGUUCGAGAAAGCUUCUGAUUAUUUUAACAUUUGUUGGAGAAGGCAUCUUUUCGAUCACUUCUAUCUUAGCUUUAUCAACUUCUAAUCCUUUGACUGAAAUUUUGUGUCCGAGUAAAAUUUCUUCAGUGACCAUGAAGUGACAUUUUUCCCAAUUUAGAACCAAGUUUGUCAAGCAAGUUUCAAAGGAUUCUCCGAACACAGAAAAAUCAUCCAUGAAGACCUCGAUGCAUUUCUCCACCAAAUCUGCGAAGAUAGCCAACAUCCAUCUUUGAAACGUUGCAGGAGCAUUACAUAGUCCGGAUGGCAUUUUUAUGUAUGCAUAAACACCAAAUGGACAUGUAAAUGCCGUCUUUUCUUGGUCCAAUGGAUCCACAUCAAUUUGAUUGUAUCCAGAGUACCCAUCCAGGAAACCAUAGAAGGCUCUUCCGGCUAAUCUUUCCAGCAUUUGAUCCAUGAAGGGCAAUGGAAAAUGAUCCUUUCUUGUGGCGGCAUUAAGUUUGCGGUAGUCAAUACAAACUAUCCAACCAGUAACAUCUCUAGUUGGAAUUAGUUCAUUGUUCUUAUUUCGAAUUACCAUCAUCCCUCCUUUUUUUGGCACCACUUGAACUGGACUUACCCAUUUACUAUCCGAAAUGGGGUAGAUCAUACCAGCUUCUAACAUUUUCACAAUUUGUUUCCUCGCCACUUCCUUCAUUGUCGGAUUAAGUCACCUUUGCGGUUGAGCACAAGGUUUAUAAUCAUCCUCCAUCAUAAUUUUGUGCAUGCAAUAUGAUGCACUGAUGCCUUUGAGAUCUUUUAAUGUCCAUCAAGUGCUGCUUGAUGCUUCUUCAAGACUUGUAUUAGUUUUUCUUCCUCCAAAUUGGACAACUUACUGUUGAUGAUUACUGGAUUGUUAGCCUCUCCAUCUAAAAAAGCAUACUUUAAAUGAGACGGUAAUUCCUUCAACUCCAAUUAUGAUUCUUUCUCUGCUGGUCCGCUUGGAUUUUGUUGAAGAAAUAAUUCAUCAGAAAAGUGUUUGAUAAUUUCUUCCUCCACUUUGUUUUCUUGCAUCACCAAAGAUUUGUCAGGUUGAGGGUGUUCUGCGCAAAUUUCUUCAACAACAUCUAGUUGUAGGCAUUGCCCUUUAUCCUUCGAAUGAUGCAUUGCAUGGAAAAUGUCAAACUCAAUUUCAUCAUCUGCAACUCGAACUAGUAAAAUGCCAUUUUCCAUGUCAAUCCCCAUUUUUGAUGUCCUCAUAAAAGGUCUCCCUAAUAUGAGUGGGAUCUUCGUAUCUUCGGUAAUGUCAAUGACGGCAAAGUCCACCGGCAUAAAAAAUUUGUCCACUUUGACCAAAACAUCCUCUACAACCCCUUUAGGAUAUUUGAUUGAGCUAUCUGCUAGUUGCUAUGAUAUUCUUGUAGGCUUUAAUUGUAUUCCUCCAAUUCUUUUCAUCAUUGACAGCAACAUCAAACUCACACUGGCUCCAAGAUCAACGAGUGCAUUGCCCACAUACACAUUUCCAAUAGUGACAGGAAUGGUCACACUGCCUGGGUCUUUUGAUUUACGAAGGAAUGUUCACAGCACUACAGUUGGUGUUGAGUGAAACAACUUCCUUUUCCUGAUAACGCCGUGUUUUGGACAAUGGUUCUUUCAUGAACUUGGAGUAAAUUGGCAUUUGCUCCAAGGCUUCAGCAAAUGGAAUAUUGAUUUGCAAAUUUUUGAAUAUCUCCAUGAACCUGUGAACUAUUCUUCUUUCUUGGUUUUUAAUGAAGCUACCGGGUAGGGUAUCUUUUUUUGUACCAGUGGGUAUUGUUUUUCUUCUUUUCUUACCCCACUAGUUUCCUCUUUUUCUUCUUCUUUUUCAUUUUUUUUCUUCGUUUUUAUUUUAUUCUUCUAAUCUCUCUUUUGGUUUUUCAAGUCCACCUUCUACCAUCUUCCAACUUCAAUUCGUAAUACUUUCACAAAAUUCUGAUUUGACCAAAUGAGUUUUUGUCAAGUUGUUGAUUUGUUCUUCAAUUUUAGUGAGAGCUUCACUUGUGUUCUGCUGAUGGUUGAUAGUAUUUUGUAGGAACUGGUUGAGAAUUUUUUCUAGCUCGUCAUGAUAAGUGUGAGUUGUUUGGAAGGCAUAGACAUUCUGGUUGUUUUUACAAUCAUUACACCAAAAACUUGCUUUGUUGGUUUGUUCCAUUUGUUUAGGUAAAUCUCGAAGUUUUUGAUGGACCGAAUUGAGCUUGAGUUGGAAUUCUUUGAUGAAUUUUUCAAUUUCUUGUUGUAAAUCAACAUGCUAGUCCAUUUCUGAAAAAUGAAAUAAAAAGGUACCAUUUUGUCUAUUCCCAAAAGAAAAGAGAUUAGUAGGUAAAGAAAACAUAGUUUACAUCUUUGUACAAAUUCAAACAAUUUGUACAAAAAACAAAAAUAAAUUUAUGCACAAUUAUUUGAGGAAUGAUAUAUAAAUAUGAAAAUUCUAUUCUUAAAGCAAUUCCCCGGUAACGACGCCAAUUUGUUGAAAGCGUUAUUUGAGAGGUUUCCCCUCAACAAAUUGUCCCUGACAGCAGCGCCAAUUUGUUGAAAGGAGUAGUCUCUUCGAUGUGUUUUCUUUAUUUGGUUAAGUAAGUGAACUCGGUUUUAUUCUUUGUUCGCCAUCUCAGCUUUGUUGAAAUAAAUUCCAACGCCGGUAUAAUGGUUUCAAGAAUAUUCCAGUUACAACUUACUUCUAAUAAUCAUGUGAAUAAGUUAUUCCUUCCUUGCCCCAUCUCGGCUUUGUUGGAAUAAAUUCUAACGCCGGUACAAUGGUAUCGAAGCAAUUACCUAUUACAUAAUUAUUANNNNNNNNNNNNNNNNNNNNNNNNNNNNNNNNNNNNNNNNNNNNNNNNNNNNNNNNNNNNNNNNNNNNNNNNNNNNNNNNNNNNNNNNNNNNNNNNNNNNACAAUUUACACCUCUUUCAAGAUUCAAUUGUAGUAUAGUAUAGGGUUAGGUCGAACCACAAGGAAUUGUCUAACAGAAUGAAUCAUAUGAAUAUGUCAAUGCACAAAUAAUGAGUGAACAUAUUGUGGUUGUUUUUUAUUUGAUUUGAUAUGCACAUAAAUAAUUAACAAGAAACAUAAACUAAGUAUUAACAAAUUCUUGAGGAGACAAGAUCAUUUUGAAUAAGGAAAAUAUAUUUCUCNNNNNNNNNNNNNNNNNNNNNNNNNNNNNNNNNNNNNNNNNNNNNNNNNNNNNNNNNNNNNNNNNNNNNNNNNNNNNNNNNNNNNNNNNNNNNNNNNNNNGGUCUGAAAUCCUCCUUUUAGUGUAUGUCCUAAAAUGGUAGAAUGAUGAUCACUUAUAUUUAUUACUAAACAAUAUUACAUCCACAAAGAGACUAGGUUGUCACACCCUGAUCUUGGCUACUCUAAUAUUGAAGUAGUAAUGAAUAUAAGAUCUUAAGAAAAGCAUGCUUAACUUGGCAAAUAAACUAAGUAGUACAACUACUUCUGAGUUUAUUUGUUAAGUGUUUGAGACAAGUAAUUUUUCAUGACUUGAAAUCAAUUUUUAGGUGAUCAAUCUAAAAAGAACAUUAAGUAGUUCAAAUACUUGUGGCACCGCUGAGCUGCCUGCUUGAGCAGCUUGGGCGUGUGCCAGGCUUGUGUCUGACUGUGCCAAGCUUGUGUUCUUACUGUGUCAGGCUUUGUCUAGUGCUCGACUGAGUGGUCAAGCAGGUCCGUUAAGCUGCCUGCUUGAGCAACUUGGUCUGUUGGGUCUGACUGUGCCAGGCUAGUGUCCAGGUCAGCUCAGCGUAGCUUGGUCCAUGCUAAGCUGCCUGCUUGAGCACCUUGAGUUUGACUUCUUUUUCUUAUUGGGCCAUGCGUCUUUAUUCUCUCUUCUUUUUCUUUCUAAAUCCUACAAAACACAUUAAAGAGAAAUACAAACACAAAUAUACAAGAUUGUGAUAUUUUAUACCAAAAGUAUUGUUUUAAGUUGGUUUUUCUCAAUUAUGCUUAAGAUAAGUGCCAUAAAAGUGUGUGAAAUUUAGGUAUGUUUGACACUUAUCAUUGUGCUUCUUUCAUACUCAUACAAAUUCACUUAAGUAUUUAAGUUUAACCAAUUCAUAUAUGGCAGAAUAAUAGACAUAUAGUAGGUGUCUCUUUUUAUAAAAAUCACAAGGGGCUCCCUAUUUGUUUCAAAGAUAAAAUGUAAAAUAGUCUUCUUUGUUUUGAUAAACCAUAUCGGUUCUUGGUCAAAUUGUUUGUUUAGUAUCCAUCAUAAAUCAACAAUUAUUUGACACAUUUUCUUGUAAAACAAAAUUAUGAAUAAAAAUAAGUUGAACAAUCCUAGGAGUAAUAGACACCAAGUUUUAUGCCCUAGGUCCAGAUGAAGGUGGUUCUUCACAUCAGUACCAUCUCCAUUAAUGCAAAGGAAUAUGUUUUUGGAAGUAUUAUCUCUACAAAUUGGGUUAUGGUUUGAAAGUGUGUGUGCAUAAAAAUUUAUGUUGUGAUCUCAAUAGAAAGGAAGGACAAGGAAUUUAUGAGUAUAGAAUAAAACAAAAUUCAACAAGGUAAAACAAACAGACUGACAUAAAAGAUGUACGGAUGAAAAGUCUUCCCAUUCCUCAAAAGCAUCCUCCAUAUUGUUUGCAGCAUCAGGAGAGAAGAUAAGUUGUUAGGACAUGGGUAGCGGUGGCUAUAAAGAGGGAGAGUUGAUGACACAAAAAGUUAGGGUUGGCUUUUGUUAUAUAAUAUUCUAAUAUUAUAUAGAAUAUUAUAAACAUAUAUAAAAGGAAGGGAACGUGAAAUUAAUCUCAUCUCCAAAGAGAUAUAUAGAGAGAGACUAUAAAAUUGUGUUUAUAUUAUGUAACAGAGAAAUAGAUAGGGUUGAAACAACACAUAAGGGGGGAAGAGUGCUAGGAUUUUCGUUUACAAAUGUAUGUAGAAUUCUAGAAUAAUAAAAUAACUACUAUAUAUAUAUAUAAGAGUAGGCUUAUAUAUUUUGCAUUGUAUUAUGAUAAUAUACAUCAUAAUUGUAACGGUAAUUGAUAUAUAUUAAUAAUGUCAUAGGUGUUGUAUAAUUAUGAAUGAAAUGAUUAAAAGAUAAAAGUGUGAUAAUUUAGUCCCAAUAUUUUAGGAUAAAUGCUAUCAUAAACAUAACUAUUCAAAUUAAAGCAAGAUAAUGUUAUCAAAAUAAUUAAUAUUGAAGAUAUUACUAGAUAAUUUAUUAUGAAAAAGAUAAUCACUCAAAAAAUAUAUUUUAUGCAAAUUCACUAUGUAUAAAAAAAUAUGCCAAUAAUAUAAUAAAUCAAUUUCAAUCAUUAAAUAUAUUUUUGAAACAAACCAAAUUUUAGAUUAUAAAUAUUCACUUGACCACAAGAUAACCAAUAAAAUAACUUGGCUCAUAAAAGACACACGGUCAGACUUGCUCAACUUGGCUCAUAAAAGACACGAUCAUGAUGCAACAGGAAUACACGGUCAGGGUGCAUCAGCACCAGGCACUGGCACAGGCGCACCAGGCGCAUCACGUGGACACGGUCAGGGUGCAUCAACACCAGGCACAAGCACAAGCACAUGUGCACCAGGUGCAUCAGGCGCAUCACGUGGACAUGGUUAGGAUGCCUCAGCAUGAGGCACAUCACCGAGACACGAACACGGUCAGGAUGCAUCAGCAUCAGGCGCAUCACACAGACUCGGACAUGGGUGCAUCAGCACCAGGCACAAGCGCGGUCAGACUAGCAGAUUGGCGCAUUACGCGCAUGCACAAUGACAGGGUCAGGCGCAUAUAUUGGCGCACAUGAUGGCGCACCAAGUAGCUUUACCUCCUCGGUCAUCACAGACCCCAUGGGACACCAAAAGUGUUUUUAGCAAACCAAACCCAUCCUCUCUUGAAUACUUAUUGGCACAUAUGCAUUUUUAUUAGGCACAUGUUUUUUACUUAGUCAAAGUUGGUUAUUUCGAUUUUGGUAGUUAAGAUAGGUAGGUAGCUUGUUUCCCAAGCAAGGUCAUCAAUUAUAUAAGUGAAUCUUGCAUCAUUGUAAAACUAACAAAAAACUUCUUCUAUUCAAUAAACAGGAGGUAUAUUCAGCUUACACUCAGCCACCAAAGGUAUCAGAGCCUUCUUCUUGAAGGUAUCACAGCCUUCUUCUUGAAGGUUCUGAUUGCCACCAAAGGUGAAGUAAAGCACCAUACACUCAGCCAAGCUUUCUGGCAAGAGGAAGGAUUAAUGGAAUCCGUACAGCAUCAAUAAACCUACGAGGCAUGAAUCCCUUCAAAACAAUAAAAGAAAAUGGCAGAAGAUUCUUCCAUUCAUCAAGAACAAGAACAAGAAUUGUAGUUUGACAUAAACAACAAUGAUCUGAAGAAUCCAUUCUAUCUACAUCCAGGAGAGAAUCCUGGAGCAGUUCUUGUCACACCAUCUCUAGAUGGUGGUAACUACCACUCUUGGAGCAGGGCCAUGAAGAGGGCCUUGCUGUCCAAAAAUAAAUUCAAGUUCGUAGAUGGUACAAUCACACCACCUAACCCAAGCAGCAUUGACUAUGACACAUAGGAGAGAUACAACACAAUGGUGUUCUCCUGGAUUACAAGGUGCUUGUCUUAACAAAUAGCACAAAGCACCAUCUAUAUCGAUAAUGCACAGGAUCUUUGGCUUGACCUCAAGGAGAGAUACUCAAAAGGGAAUUAUUUCAGGUUCUCAGAUGUUCUACAUGAGUUACACUCAAUCAAACUAGGAGAUAGGAACAUCUCAAGUUACUUCACUGACCUGAAAAUACAAUGGGAUGAGCUAGAAUCAUUAAGACCAAUGUCUUAUUGCACAUCUGAGGUAAAAUGUUGGUGCAAGUUGGACAAAACCGUGAGGAGUCAUAAAGACAUAAAGUAUGUCAUCUAUUUCCUAAAUGGCCUAAAUGAUCAGUUCAAUACAUCCACAACUCAAAUCCUUCUUAUGGAGCCUCUACCAACAAUCAACAAAGCCUUCUCAUUACUUCUUCAACAAGAAAGCCAGAUGGAUGAACUAGAUACCUCAAGGGUGUUGUUCAAUCAACAGAUCAACAAGAAGGAUGCGCCACAACUAUGGCUAAGAGAAGCAACUCAGCCUUGGAAAGCUAAGAGUAGUCAGCCAAAAGGAAACUUCAUGCAGGAAAGAGGUAGAGGAACAGGGAAAGGUUCUUGGAAUCAGAAAGGAAAUAGCAUAAAGGUAUGUACCUAUUGUGGCAAAGAGAAGCACACAGUGAACACAUGCUACUUCAAGCAUGGGUUUCCACCAAACUUACAACAAUCAAGAUCAAGACAGGAUUCUGGGAUGAUUAAUGUUGCAACAAUAAAAGAUCAAAACGCACAAUAGGAGUCAAACAAACAACCAAUAACGACCAACUCAAGGGAUAUGGCUUUCAACUUUAGUCCUGAACAAUGUGAGCAAAUAGCAUCCCUGAUCAAAAGCAUGGGAACUGGAUCAUCAGGUCACAAAGUAAAUCAGUUAAGCAUAGAACCAAGAAACACUUCACAAGGCAAUCAGAACCAAGAAGGUAAUCAAAUAACAGGUAACAUUUCACACUGGAUCCUAGACAUAGGAGCCACAGAUCAUGUGUGCCCUGGUUUGUCAAGCUUCACUGCCUUCCAUAGGAUAAGGCCAAUUGCCAUUGGUCUACCUAAUGGCACCAAAAUAUUUGCUAAGCAUUCAGGAACCAUAAUGAUCUCAGAAGAGUUAAUCUUACAUGAUGUUUUGUAUAUACCUAACUUUAAAUUUAACUUGAUCUCAGUACACAAACUCACCAACUCUUUACAUUGCAAGCUAACCUUUUAUGAUGCCAAUUGCUCUAUUCAGGAUAUGAUUAUCUUGAGGACGAUUGGACAUGCUGAUGUUAAAAAAGGAUUGUACAUCUUAAGUAAUUCUUUUAGGAAUGAAUGUGAAUUACACCACAAUGUAAACACUCUAAAUACUGUUGAUUUCUUUGACCUAUGGCACUUUCGACUUGGGCAUCCAUCAAAUACUGUAUUGAAUUCAUUAUGCAAAGAGUUUGAUUAUGUUAAAUAUGACUCUACAAAUGUUUGUGAUUAUUGUUAUUUAGGUAAGCAUGCUAAACUACCUUUUCCUAACCAAAUGAAUAGAACUCAUCGUCCCUUUGACAUGAUACAUAUCGAUAUAUAGGGGCCUCUAGCAAAUAGCUCUAUUAAUGGUCACAAAUAUUUCCUCACUAUAGUUGAUGACCAUAGCAGGCACGCAUGAAUUUUCCUUAUGAAUUCUAAAUCAGAAGCUAGAACACUUGUGCAAGAUUUUUUCAAACUAGUUCACACUCAAUAUGACAAGGCUGUCAAGAUUAUAAGAAGUGACAACGGUCAUGAGUUCCAUAUACCUAACUUCUAUCAAGAAAGAGGCAUAAUCCACCAAACUUCUUGUGUGGAAACUCCCCAACAUAACUCAGUGGUUGAAAGAAAACAUAGACACAUCUUGAAUGUGACUCGUAUCCUUCUCCUUCAGUCUAAGUUACCUAGGAAUUUUUGGUCCUUUACAGCACAACAUGCCACUUACCUUAUAAAUAGGCUCCCUAGCCAUGUCCUUAAGUUUAAGACGCCUUAUGAACUAAUUCACAGUAAGAAGCCCAAUCUGUUAGAACUCAAAGUCUUUGGGUGCUUAUGUUUUGCAUCCACUUUAACCCAGAACAGAUCCAAGCUUGACCCUAGAGCAAGAAAGUGUGCUUUCUUGGGUUACAUGCCAACUACCAAGGGCUAUAUCCUCUUUGAUUUAAAGAACAUGGAAAUUUUCAUCUCUAGGCAUGUUGUGUUUCAUGAGCACAUAUUCCCUUACCGAUCCAACCACACUUUUGAAGAUGACAAUGGGAAUAGCCUCGAGGAUGACCUGGCAUUCCCUGAUAUACAACCUGGGCCACCUACCAUUACAAAGGACACUAGAAUAAAAAGUCCCGAUGACCUGCCAUAUGAAAGUAAUUAUUAGGAUCCCAAGGAAGAGAUAGCUAACCAGACCCAUAAAACUACUGAUACUCAAGUCCUUAGACACUCAUCUCAGUCCAAAAAACCCCUACUUACUUGCAGGAAUUUCAGUGCUUCUUGUCUGCCUAUGAUUCCCAUGAAUCUACCCCUUGCAAAACCAGCAAGCACACACUCUUCUCCACCUUAUCCUAUGAACAUAUAUCCCCCCAUCAUCUUAAUCACAUCAUCUCCACUAGCACCAAUGUUGAUCCCAAAACAUACAAGCAAGCCAUACAAUCCAAGCACUGGAUAGAGGCUAUGCAACAUGAGCUCAAUGCCCUUGAGGUCAACAAAACUUGGUCAUUGGUUGAUCUACCUCCCAACAAGAGACUCAUUAGCUCUAAAUGGGUCUAUAAGAUCAAAUAUAAAUCUGAUGUGACAAUUGAAAGAUAUAAAGCUAGGCUUGUGGCUAAAGGUUUUAGUCAAACAGAGGGUAUAGAUUUUCUUGAAACUUUUGCACAUGUAAUUAAACUCACCACUGUCAGACUAUUGUUAUCCAUUGUUGCUUCACAGAAUUGGAUUGUGCAUCAGCUUGAUGUUAACAAUACAUUUCUUCAUGGUGAGUUAAGUGUGGAUGUUUAUAUGAACAUACCACAGGGAGUUGUGUGCAAGGAACCUAACAAAGUAUGCAAGCUACAUAAGUCCCUCUAUGGACUUAAACAGGCAGGUAGGCAAUGGUUCACAAGGUUAACUCAAACUCUUCUCUCUUUAGGAUAUGUUCAAUCACAUCAUGAUCACUCUUUAUUCACUAAAAAUAUUGGGCCUCAUUUUACUGCUUUACUUAUAUAUGUGGAUGAUUUAGUACUAAGUGGUAACAAUCAAACUGAAAUAGAUUUUGUUAAGAAUUGUUUGGAUAAGCAAUUUAAGAUCAAAGACCUUGGUGCUAUUAAAUAUUUUCUUGGAUUGGAGGUAGCUAGAUCUAAAAAUGGGAUCAUUCUAUGCCAAAGAAAGUAUGUUCUUGAUAUUAUUUUAUCAAAACCACAAAAAUGGGCCUCAUGAUGUGAUUGACCACAAAAAUGCUCAUGACCGCAAAAAUGGUUCACAAGGUUAACUCAAACUCUUCUCUUAAAGCCUGUUCCAACACCUAUUAUCAAAACCACAAAACUACACCAGGGUGACUCAAAUGCAUACAAAGAUCCACCUGCAUAUAGAAGGUUAGUAGGGAGGCUACUAUAUCUAACCAAUAUGAGGCCAGAUAUUAAUUAUGUUGUCCAACAAUUGAGCCAAUUCAUGGCUAAUCCAAUAACCACUCACUUCAAGACCCUGACUAGAGUGCUCAGAUAUAUCAAGGGUAGUCCAGGGCAAGGACUGUUCUAUGGCUCCUCAUCUCAUCUCCAACUCAAGGCUUUCAGUGAUUCUGAUUGGGCAUCCUGCAUUGACUCUAGAAAAUCCAUAACUGGUUUGUGUGUUUUCCUUGGUAAUUCUUUAAUUUCUUGGAAAUCCAAGAAGCAAAAUACGGUGGCCUAUUCCUCCUUUGAAGUAGAGUACAUGGCAUUAGCAGCAGCAACUUGUGAAACUUAGUGGUUAACCUUUUUACUUGACAACUUCAGAAUUCCAUUCAAAAGACCAACAUUGUUGUAUUGUGAUAAUGACUCAGCAAGGUACAUAGCAACUAACUCUAUCUUCCAUGACCAUACCAAACACAUUGACAUUGUUUGUCAUGUUGUUAGGGAACGUCUUCAAUCCAACCUUUUCCAUCUCCUACCAAUCAAAACAACACAACAAUGUGCAGACAUAUUAACCAAGGCUUUAGACCCUUCUCAUUUCUCUUUUCUCUUGUCCAAACUGGGAGUAAUUAACAUCUACUCUCCAUUUUGCGAGGGGGUAUUAAAGUCAGGUCAUUAUGUUCAUGACAAGGACACACGGUCAGACUUGAUCAACUUGUGCAACAUCGUGACCCAGAACACACGGUCAGACUUGAUCAACUUGGCUCAUCAGAGACACGGUCAUGAUGCAACAAUAAUACACGGUCAGGGUGCAUCAGCACCAGGCACAUGCACAGGCACACCAGGCACAUCACGUGGACACAGUCAGGGUGCAUCAGCACCAAGCACAGGCACAGGCGCACCAGGCGCAUCACGUGGACACGGUCAAGAUGCAUCAGCAUCAGGCACAUCACCCUGACACGGACACGGUCAUGAUGCAUCAGCAUCAGGCGCAUCAUACAUACAUGGACGUGGGUGCAUCAACACCAGGCACAGGGGCGGUCAAACUGACAUAUUGGCACAUCAGGCGCAUGUAGAGAGACAAGGUCAGGCGCAUAUAUUGGCGCACAUGGUGGCGCACCAGAUGGUGCACCAAGUAGCUUUUCCUCCUCGGUCAUCACAGACCCCGUGGGACACCAGAAGUGUUUUUAGAAAACCAAACCCAUCCUCACUUAAAUACUUAUUAACACAUGUGCAUUUUUAUUGAGCACAUGUUGUUUACUUAGUCAAAGUUAGUUAUUUCGGUUUUGUUAGUUAAGAUAGGUAGGUAGGUUAUUUCCGAAGCAAGGUCAUCAAUUAUAUAAGUGACUCUUGCAUCAUUGUAAAACUAAUAAAAAACUUCUUCUAUUCAAUAAACAUGAGGUAUAUUCAGCUUAUAAAUCGCUUUAGAUGAUAACCGAAGUGUAAUUAUUAAGGAAAAUUAUGUUGCUCAUCAAGAUGCGAUCCUUAGUGAAGAACAUAGUCAUACACAAAAAAUUAUGCUAUAGUAGUCUAUCACUCAUCUAACAAUUAUGAGGAGAAUAUCCUCAUGAUCCUAAGUCAUUAACUUUAUCUUCCAACAAAAAUUCUUACUUACAAGAAAAACAAUACCUCAGGAACUGAGGAAGGAAACACAACAAAACAAACAAACAAAUAAUCACACCAGAGUCACACAGAGAAAGGGUAUAUGAGGCCUUACCCCAAGCCGGAUAGGAAGGACCAGCUCUGAUACCACUAUUGUAACACCCCGUUUAUGCAACUAAGAAAUUAGGAUUUCAUUAUAAAAACAUGAUGAAAAUUUAAUUAAAAUUAAAGGCAACUGUUAUAAAAUCAGAGUGAAUUUAAAAUUUCUUUUCAUUAACAUGUUUAAGAUGAAGAAAUAUUCAAUCUUAUCAUUACCCAAAAACGAGGUAUCACAUACAACGUCAAAACCAUGAUUUAAACAAUUAUCUAUUUGUUUAAGUAUGUAGUUUUAAAAAAUCAUUAAUCUUAAUCUUAACAUAAUGAUUAUAAAGAUUAUCAUAUAUGCAAAAAGAAUCACUCUUAAGUAUUUUUUAUAAAAUAUAACUUAUACAAAAAUUAGUUCAAAAGCCCAAGGGUAUUCAUAAAUCAGAGCCAAUAAUCCCAAUAUAAACAAGAUACUUAACUAGACAUCAACUAAGUUCUUCUUGUUUAUCUCUCCAUCAAUGGAUAUCCAUAGAGAAACUGCAACAAACCUAGACAUAUACAUAGUAUAGACAAAAGAAAAGACAAAGAAAAGGGAGUAAGAGCCAACUAUAGCGACCGCAACGUGGAAUUACAUAGAGAAAUAACAUUAUAGUGAGACACCCUAUAACAACACCAUAAACAAACAAUGUCAAACAUAUGCAAAUGAUACAUGAAAUUAGUGUCUUAUACAAGAGGAUAUUCACAUCGACAAUCAAUAUAUCUUUUAUGCAAUACAAUAUGCAAUUCACCAACCAAUCAUCACCAAAAUUACAAUACCCGAAGGCCAAGAUCCUAGUGGGAAAGCAACCACGAGUACAGAUAUCCUUAACAAUGGCAAGUAACAAUAUCAAUUUUUUUCCAAUUACCUCUAUUAGUGGUGCUUACGUGGUAAGCCCAGUCCUUUUCAGGAUUCCUCUCUACCGAUCAUGAAAUGCGCAAGGCGUGUCAGAGACCGCUUAGUUGGCAUGUAAGACUAUCCUGGUCAUACGAGUAAUGAACCCGAACCCUCACUAGACUGUCCCACCUAAGCAAUCCCUCAAGGUUUCUUGACGAAUCAGCAUCAUUGUUACCCCUGUCAAAAUCCCGAUGAUAUUCCUAUCAUCGUGCCUUUCCAUUUUCUCCAACUCCAACUACAAGAAUGCAAUGUAUGCACACUAACCGAAGUUAGCUCAUUAAAUCCUUUUAUCAAUAUUAUCUCAAUUUCAAUUUCCACUAACAUCCCCUAAGUUAGUCGUUUCAGCCACAAUGCAUUUCAACCAUGCCAAGUCCAGUGGACGAGCUCAAGAUGCUAACUUAGUGAUCAAAUUCAAGAGGCAAAAGCCCAAUUUUAAACUGUGUAUUUUCCAAAUCAAUAUAACAAUUAACGUAAAAAUUUUCCAUUAAAUACAAUAAUCAAGUUAUAUAUUUUGAAAUCAAUACAACAAUCAACUUAAUAAUAUUUUCCCAUAUCAAUACAAAAUCACAUAUAUAUAUUUUCCUUUUAAAUACAACUAUACAACAAUCAAUAUCAAUAAUUACAAUUGUGAUAUUUCUAAAUUACAACGUUAUCACAAACGUUCAUCACAUAAAAACAAUUAAUAAUUUAUCACAAUACUCACAUGCAUACAAACAUGAUUAUUUAACAAUCUUUCAUGACGAUGUAAUACCAUAAGCGAGUAUCUCGCAUUAUGCUACACAAAAGUGAAUUCAUACACAUAUAUUUCCAACACAAUGAAAUAUCUAAGACUCUAUACAUCGUCAUGAAAAAUAUUAAGGACUCCCACAUGGAAACAAGUUUCUAUGUGAGUUCCUAAUCUACAAGACUCUCCGACUUUUGAAGGAAUCGGAGAGGAAAAACUUUAAUGAAAUACUUUAAAACCACAAUGGUCUUCUCCCUCACCUUAGACGCUUCAUUCCUGUGCUCAAUUCUAUCUUCUUUGAUCCAUCCAUGCCAUUGUCCCAUCCCAAAGCAAAAUCACAUUGUCUAACAGUUAGUCUAAUGCAUUAAUUCCUCCUAAGCACACUGCAGGAUCAUUACCCAAAAGAUAACACAGCAAAAAUUAAUUUCUAGUUCUACAUAUCAGUAUUUAUCCAUCUUUUUUUUUAACAAUUAAUCUCAUGUAUACCUAUACAUAUGACACGUAUACAUAUAUAUAUAUAUAUAUGAAACGUAUGACACUAUAUACUUUUAUGACAAAUUUUGUUUCUCCCAUCCAAACAUGCAUAUUCUAGAAGUAAUGCAUAGGAUAAAUAUGGAUGAUAUUAUUUUCUUACUCAACUGUAACCUUCAAAAGUAAAAGGAAAGGAAAGGAUGCAGUAAUGUAUGCAAAUAUGCAUAAACUUUAGUUUGCCUAAGUUGUGCCCCUUUCAUUCUCAUACAAAUUCACUUAAGUAUUUAAGCUUAACCAAUUCAUAUGUGGCAGAAUAAUAGACAUAUAGUAGGUGUCUCUUUUUAAAAAAAUCAUAAGGGGCUCCCUGUUUGUUUCAAAGAAAGAAUGUAAAAUAGUCUUCUUUGUAUUUGAUAAACCAUAGCGGUUCUUUGUCAAAUUGUUUGUUUAGUAUCGAUCAUAAAUCAACAAUUAUUUGACAAAAUUUUUUGUAAAACAAAAUUAUGAAUAAAAAUAAGUUGAACAAUCCUAGGAGUAAGGGGCACCAAGUUUUAUGCCCUAGGUCCACAUGAAGGUGGUUCUUCACAUCAGUACCAUCUCCAUUAAUGCAAAGGAAUAUAUUUUUGGAAGUAUUAUCUCUAUACAUUGGGUUAUGGUUUGAAAGUGUGUGCAUAAAAAUUUAUGUUGUGAUCUCAAUAAAAAGGAAGGACAAGGAAUUUAUAAGUAUAGAAUAAAAUAAAACUCAACAAGGCAAAACAAACAUAUUGAAAUAAAAGUUGUACCGAUGAAAAGUCUUCCCAUUCCUCAAAAGCAUCCUCCAUAUUGUUUGCAACAUGUGGAGAGAAGAUAACUUUUUAGGAAGUGGGUAGCGGUGGCUAUAAAGAGGGAGAGUUG
rnacentral:lncRNA from 1 species